UACGAAGGGGGCUAGCGUUGUUCGGAUUCAUUGGGCGUAAAGGGUGCGUAGGCGGCGCGGUAAGUCGGGUGUGAAAUCUUGGAGCUUAACUCCGAAACUGCAUUCGAUACUGCCGUGCUUGAGGACUGGAGAGGAGACUGGAAUUUACGGUGUAGCGGUGAAAUGCGUAGAUAUCGUAAGGAAGACCAGUGGCGAAGGCGGGUCUCUGGACAGUUCCUGACGCUGAGACACGAAGGCCAGGGGAGCAAACGGG
rnacentral:rRNA from 1 species